rnacentral:misc_RNA from 1 species
CUAUCUUUGCUGAAGACAACUCAAAAAGCCACCUACAUGCAAAGUGCAAACGUUUUCUAAAGGACACACACACAAUGGUAACUGGUUACAAGGUUGAAGUUAAAGAUCAAUUGGAUACUUUAGUUGGUUAUGAAGCAAUCAAGAUUGCUAAUUCAAGUUAGAGAGAAGUUGGGAAUAUUGCAUUUUUUGGGGAAAGAAAAUCAAAUAGUACAGGUGUCAAACGAAUCCUUCAAGCGGCACCCCCUCACUCCCCAUGAAGGAGAGUUAACAGAGUCAGG